AAGGAGCGAAGAUGGCGGAGUGAG
rnacentral:piRNA from 1 species